UGUAAACAUCCUACACUCUCAGCUGUGGAAACUAGGAAAGCUGGGAGAAGGCUGUUUACU
rnacentral:pre_miRNA from 1 species